ensembl:lncRNA
AAAGGAGGGAGAGGAGGAGAGUGAGAGAGGAGAUUGGGGGGGACAGAGAUAGGGUAGUGAAAAUGAUGGCGACCGAUUCAGUGGAGAUAAGAAACCAAACGAGCCCCUGUCCCAUCCCUGACAACAGUCUCAGCACUCUGUCCAUCAAAAUAACGCGGAAAAACCAGGACAGACACUGGAAGUUGCGGUUUAUUUAUCUGCAGUGCUAAAGUGGAAAGUUUCUCCCAAAAUCAAAAUUAGACUUUCUGACAUCAUGACUGGAAGCCAGUUUGAGUCCAGCAAGCAUCAUAGACCAGGGAGCUUUGGGAACCUGAUGCCUCCAUUGCAAAAACUAUCAAAAAUGGACUUUAUGUGAUGUAUGAGACAGCUUGUCG